UCCAUUCGGCCUUAGCUUCUUCUGGACCUGUCUCCUCUCCUACUCUCUUCCUCUCUCCAACGUUUGGGGGUGUCAUGGAUGGGUGAAGAAGAAGAAGAAGAAGCCCCAUCAAUCCCAUGAAAGCCAUCUCCUCACCACUCUCUCAGUGGCCUUCUAAGAUUGUGGCCAGAAGCAAGAAGUCAUCCCAACAACCUUCUCCUAACAACAAGUUGAUUUGCCAGUUUGCGGCAGCGGGCCAGCAUGCCUGUCAAGGGCGGAGCUUCCCGUGGGUUCGGGUCUUCAGCCACUACGAUUGUUGCUCCAAGAUGGAAGAAUGUUGGAUCUUACGGGUAGUGCGACAAUGGGUAGGGACUCGGUAGGGGAGGUGGUUAAGUCUGAAAGCCUUCCCUGUAAGUUUGCCAAGUUCAGUAGCUUUGUGGGAAUGCCACUGGCGGGGUUUAAAGAGGAAAUUAGUCCCCUUUUGAGGGAAAUGGAGGCAAGAAAAGGGCGUGGGGUGAAGUUCUCUGGGGGUAAGAGGAAAACGAUUUCGUCUUCCCGUGUUGAGAGGGAAAUUCGAAAACUAGAAUGCUCCGUUAACUACAAUAGCUGUCCUAUCUAAGUUAGGGCCCUAGGGGAAGAGGGAGGAACAUUGGGGUGUGAGCUCUUUUCCUGAAAGGACGGUUCUUCUCUCUCAGCUUGGUUAUGGGUUAUGUGUGCAGAAGUGCUUCAAGGGUGUUUUCCGCUUUUCCUUCUCUAUAAAGUGUAGGGGUUUGGUUGUUUGUUAGGGUGGUUGGUAUUUCCUCUUCCUUUUCUCUUUUCUGCUUGCCUUUUGGCCUUUAUUGUAUACUUGGUGUGCACUUUGUUGCGCCAAUUGCUAGCGCUUUUAAUAUAUUCUCUUUUACUUAUCACAAAAAAAAUAAAAUAAAUAAGCUUACCUCCGUGAGAUGUUACCCGUGAAUAUCAAUUGAAAAGCAAAAUCAUCUUCUCUUGCAGAAAAUUAGAGAUUAAUGUUGGAACAAAAUAAUAUAAGUUCUGAUGGUUUCAUCUGUACUUCUGGACCUUAAAUAAUUUUGUUGAAACAACAGACCCGUUGUGGGGGAGAAAGUAGCUCAUUCCAUCCCUGGUCACAAUAAUCUCUCACCAAAGUGAGAAAAAGGUAAGGUGAGGUUCAAAGGUUGGGCUCUAGGUGAGGGUGGGUGUUGUCUUUCAUCGCCCCUCUUUGCUUUUGGUUAUGCCUUUAUGCCUUUGCCUAUACUUCUUGAAUGCUUUGGGAUGCCUUUUGGCCCGCUUUCUUUUAUCUACGCUUUUGUUUUUACCUAUCAAAAAAGAAAAAAAAAUGUUAACAGAGAUCCUUCUCUGGUAACCAUUGCUUCAACAAAUCAGAUGCCUUAAAUUUGUUUGUGUUUGUUUUCUAACAAAUUUUGAUUUUAUUUUUUUGGUACUUGGUUCAUCUGUCAGUUUUUGGUUCAUCCUUGAUCUCAGCUAUUCAACAAACCUAAGUGAUUGAACCAUUUAUACUUGGUGUUGUAGACCUCUAUGAAACAAUAAUAUCUAUGUCCAUUUGCUCUAGCUUUGUCCAAUAUAUUCUCACUUAAUUCUGCUAUAUGAUAUUUGGUUCAGUUUUCUGUCUUAUGUGAGUAAAACUUGGAAUUGAAAGUUGAAUAUAAUAUCCAUUUGUUCUAUGUCUUAACAGGUUAUAUGUGUGUGGUUAGUGCAUGUAUGGUCUGAGAAAUUCAACUUAUAGUGCAUAGUCUGAGAUGUAAUCUAGUGAUAUUUUGAUGUGCAUGUUGAUACUCUUUGCUCAUGUAAAAUUGGUAUCACUUUUUCAUUGCAUUAUUACUGUGGAAUCUUAUGAAUGUGCUUGAUGUGUACUCAAUUGUGAAUGCUAGAGAAGCUAUGCUAAGAAAAAACUCAUUUAGUUUUGCAUCAGUUGGGCAGAUCCUGCAAGUGCUUAUUUAACUGCUUGUUUAUUGUAAGUGUUCAGAAUUUCAAUUCUGAAAAAUUAGAUGGCUUAAGAAUUUUGUAAUGUAUAUUGGAGUUCUGAUAUGUAUCAGUUCCACAUUUAUUACUUAGACAGAACAUAUUUUAAAAUGUAGAAGAGCAGGGAUAGGCUGCCCUAGUUUGUAGAAUGGUCCACUUUAAAUGUACAGUUUCAUUAUUUAGGGAGUUCUAAAAAUCUUCAUUAUCUGUUAGUAUUGAUUUUUUUUAUAUUGUGUAGAGCAAGUUGCAUUUCUGACUUGUUUUUCUCAAUUCAUGCGCAAGAAUGUUGUCAUAUUUCCUUCAAAGGUUGUACCAAUUGAGAAUGCUCUUCAAUUAUUCUCACCCCGUCUUGCAAUUGUUGAUGAACAUCUGACUUGACAUCUUCCAAGACAGUGGUUAACAUUCUUGAAAAUUGAGAAACAGAUAAUCCUUCAGGGGAUGUACUCAGUGAUUGAAGCCCCACACCAGUCAGAUUUAAUGAUAGAGCUCAUCAAAAAGUUGAAGCCACAGGUGGUGGUGGU